rnacentral:rRNA from 1 species
CCCUUAGAGUUUGAUCCUGGCUCAGGACGAACGCUGGCGGCGUGCCUAACACAUGCAAGUCGAACGAGGUCCAUGGAGUGGCAACACUCCGGAAGACCUAGUGGCGAACGGGUGAGUAACACGUGAGGAACUUGCCCCGGAGACCGGGAUAACCCACCGAAAGGUGAGCUAAUACCGGAUGUCCUCACCGAGUCGCAUGGCUUGGUGAGGAAAUGGAUUCCGCUCCGGGAGAGCCUCGCGGCCUAUCAGCUUGUUGGUGGGGUAACGGCCCACCAAGGCAUCGACGGGUAGCUGGUCUGAGAGGACGAUCAGCCACACUGGGACUGAGACACGGCCCAGACUCCUACGGGAGGCAGCAGUGGGGAAUCUUGCGCAAUGGGCGAAAGCCUGACGCAGCAACGCCGCGUGCGGGAUGAAGGCCCUCGGGUUGUAAACCGCUUUCAGUGGGGACGAACCAAGACGGUACCCACAGAAGAAGGUCCGGCCAACUACGUGCCAGCAGCCGCGGUAACACGUAGGGACCAAGCGUUGUCCGGAUUCAUUGGGCGUAAAGAGCUCGUAGGCGGUUCGAUAAGUCGGGUGUGAAACCUCCAGGCUCAACCUGGAGACGCCACCCGAUACUGUCGUGACUAGAGUCCAGUAGGGGAGCGUGGAAUUCCUGGUGUAGCGGUGAAAUGCGCAGAUAUCAGAGGAACACCAGCGGCGAAGGCGGCGCUCUGGGCUGGACUGACGCUGAGAGCGAAAGCGUGGGGAGCGACAGAUAGAUACCUGGUAGUCACGCCGUAACGUGGGUACUAGUGUGGGUCUAU